GCACACACCCUGGAAAAAAAUCUGUCACGCUCCCAGCAAACAUGGGGGAAUCCGAGUCAAGGUUUUUCUAGUAUGCAACGAUGAGAUAUACUACUGUUCCUUAACAAACAGCAACAUGCGCAGCAGUGACACAGAUGAAAGGAACAGUCCAGACUCCGCCGAGAAGCUCCCAGGAUGCCGAGACACCUUCUGGGGACCUGAGCCCUAGGACCAUGCCUCAGGACUACCUGGCAUGAUGACUCCUUGCUGUCCCCAGUCCACCUGGCUGUGCUGCUGCUCCAGUUUCAACUGUUCUGCCUGCGGCUAUGGAACCCUGACCUGUUCACCGGACGUGCUACCUUUCCCAGACCUGCUGUUUUCAACUCUCUAGAGACAGCAGGAGCGGUAGCUAUACUCUGAAUGAUCGGGGAGUAUGAAAAGACAACUGACAUUUACUCCUGAGGUGCUGACUUGUUGCACCCUCGACAUCUACUGUGAUUAUUAUUAUUAUUUGACCAUGCUGGUCAUUUAUGAACAUUUGAACAUCUUGGCCAUGUUCUGUUAUAAUCACCACACGGCACAGCCAGAAGAGGACUGGCCACCCCUCAGCCUGGUUCCUCUCUAGGUUUCUUCCUAGGUUAUGGCCUUUCUAGGGAGUUUUUCCUAGCCACCGUGCUUCUACACCUGCAUUGCUUGCUGUUUGGGGUUUUGGGCUGGGUUUCUGUACAGCACUUUGAUAUAUCAGCUGAUGUAAGAAGGGCUAUAUAAAUACAUUUGAUUUGAUUUGAAUAUGCAUAUCCUUGCUUCAGGGCCUGAGCUACAGGCAGUUAGAUUUGGGUAUGUCAUUAUAGGUGAAACUUGAAAAAAAGGGGCUAUCCCUAUCCCUUUAAAAAGGGGGCUAUCCCUUUAAAGACAGGAAGUAAACCAAAGUGGUGGAGCAAAACGAAAACAGAGAAGAUCAGGUAAAGUAUUGUUUGUCAAGAAAUCAAAUAGGGAGAGUCAACUAAAGGUGUUAACCCUCCACAUCUCUCCAGUCAACUGGAGCACUGGGCCAGCACAGAUGACUAACGAGAUGACAAACCAACAAAGGUGUAGCAUACUGACUAACGAGGUGACACCAAUCGAUUUGCCCCACAUGCUAAUGUCCAACCUCGAAAUAUAAAUGGAAAAGCCUGUAACACUGAUUGUCUAGUCACUUUUACCUCUACCUACAUGCACAUAUUAACUUAAAUACCCUUGCAUAUUGACUCCGGAACCGGUACUUCUUAUAUAUUGCCACAUUAUAUAUAUAUAUAUGCAUUGUUGUGAAAGGACUCACAAGUAAGAAUGUCAUGGUCAAGUCUACACAUGUUGUAUUCGGUGCAUGUGACAAAUACAAUUUUGAGAAAAUCAAGAUAUCAUUUUUAGGCCAUAUCGCCGAGCCCUAGAGGUGAGUUUUGCGUUGCUUGGCCUUACCUCGAGCAGAGCACUUUGCAGACUCCAUGAGAAAAACACAGACACCUCACUCUCCGGAAGGCUCAGACAACAUCUCUCUGGACCCAUUCCCGGAAACUUAGCAUUCGGUCUUUUUCACAUUGACCCAGAUAUACACUGAUAAAUGGAUGCCUCACAAACUGAUAGCUGUGCUUGUGAACAAUGGACUAUUAGUGAAUCUCACAACCAGGGCCAGCACCAGAACUAAUCAGGUGGAUGGGCCUCCGACGGGAUUUUCUACAAGGAAUAUGCCUCCCGAAAAAAGCUUCUCCCAAGUGGGUGUGACACCUACUCCCGUUGCCUGCUGCACUGCUGCUUGGAUUCCACCUUGCGACCUGUUCAUCGUCUGCCCUGGCCUUUCUCCCCGUCUGGUAUAGGUACCCCCGCCACACUCCCCCUCUCUCCCGAGCUUCCGCUCGCCGCCAGUACACAUGCACUGUUGAGGCGAGUGACUGAACUUACAAUGGCUAGCCCCAGGUUGUUAUAUUUUUCACUUGUGCUUUAUGCAAUUUGCUUCAUGACUCCUAAGUGCUUUGUUGACUAUGAACUUGCUUGUUUACCCAAUCGUGGGACAGUCUGUUUGUUAACAAAAUCGGGACUCUGGUUACAUGGACUCUUGGCCUCCCAUCCUAUUCUAACCAUCUCUUUACUGGUUUGUAUUCAUGUUACCUGAAAAAAUUGCUGUACAAUAUGAUCUUGUUGCCAUCUAAUGCACAUUCAAAUGUUGUAAAUCAACUCUGCAGAGCUCUCCCUGUCCUCUGCUGUGCCCUGAUUGUAUUACUGCUGAUUAUAUCUGGAAAUGUGUGUGUACACUCUGGCCCAUCUACUGUUGCUAGCCCUAAUUCUGAUUUGUGCUCUGAUAUCUGCAUCACUGAUUUCUACUCUUGUAAAAGCCUGGGUUUUCUGCACGUUAACAUCAGAAGCUUAUUACCUAAAAUUGAUCAAUUGAAAGUGUGGGUUCACAGCUACAAUCCAUAUGUGUUGGUCAUUACUGAGGCAUGGAGAGUGUUUUGAACACUGAUGUUAACCUUUCUGGUGUCAUGACAUUGGCCUAGGGGUAGGUUUAUGACAGUCAUAAAUACCUCUUCCCCCCCUUUUUCCUCUCUCUACCCUACUGAUGUGACAUUUGAAAAUCCCUUGGUUAAUAUAGAGAUUCUGGGAACAUCAGAAGUUGGGGGGAAAUGAACCAUAUUUUGGUAAUCCGACCAGUUGAACAUAUGGGGUACUUAAUGAAUAUGAUGUCAGUUCGGUUGUCAUCUGAGACAUUCUCAUCAAUGAUAGGAUGACAAACUCUACAGUGGAAAGUCUGCACAUUGUAGUUAUCGGAUUCACAUGGAAUUGUUGUUCAAUUGAAAUGUUUGAAUAUAAAAUUAUUGGUGAAAAGAUUAAAUGUAAUUUUAGCUUCCAAAUGAGAGAUUUGGGUUUUCAUAAUGUUAGAGCUCUGCUCAAACAGUGACCCGCCCCUGUGAAGAGACAUGGGCUGUAAACUAUGAAAACACACUAUAUAAAGCCUUGAAGAAAAAUUUAACCUCCUGUUCUGAGGAUGUGAGGACGACGGUCCAUACAUUAAAAGGACUAACAUGUCAACUGUUCCGGGUACGUUAGGAUGACGAUCCGAUGUCAGAAUGGUUCAGAUAAUAACUACAGAACAAAGCCAACCUCAGUGUGAGCUUUGUUUGCGAAUGGUAUGAACUUUGAACUCUUAUUCACUACAGAAGUGAUAGCUCCUAGCCGUUGAGUUCGCAACAGCAGCUAGGAAAGGACAGGCCGAGUAUCCCGUCUACCACACAACAACGACACUACAACAUCCCGUUCACCACCAGAGACACAUAUUUAUUGCAUUUUCCUUUUCCAAGUGGGCGGUAAUUUAGAAUGCAUAAGAUACUGUAUUUACAAUAGAGACAUCACUUCUCCCUUUGUUCUUCAGUCUUCCCGCUCUUUCACUCAAGCCCAACCCCCUUUUUUCUUUGGAUAACCAGCUGUCAUAUCUGUUCUGUCCGCUAGGGACGAUUUCCUUUAUAACAUAAUUUGUCAUCAAGGUAUGAUUCAUUCUGUGUAUAUAUAAUUAUGUGUGAUUAGUUAGGUAUCUAGUAAAUAAAUAAUUAAACCCAUUUUUGUAUUGCUGAUUCAACUUGUUAGCCAUCGUUCGUGAAGAUAACCAAGAAUUUCAACUUUCAGAUGAGACUGAAAUAAGAUGACGAUUAAUAUUGAUUGCUAUUGAUGUAAAACAUUACUAGGUCUUUAAGAGUUUAGUCGGAAGAUAACAGCUCUAUAAAUAUUAUUUCGUGGUGCCCCAACUUUCUAGUUAAUUACAUUUACAUGAUUAGCUCAAUCAGGUGAUAUUAAUUACAGAGAAAGUAUUUUAUAGAAUAGCAUGUCAUAUCACUUAAUCCGGCAUAGCCAAAGACAUGACACUGAUUAUAACCUUUUUCGGCAAGCCAGAUCUUCCAACGGUGGUGGAGUGGCAAUCUUUACCAAGGAACACCUUCAGCGCUCGGUUGUCUCCACCAAGUCUGUCCCCAAACAAUUUGAUUUGCUGGUUUUACGCAUAACAUUUUCAAAUAACUCUUUGUUGACUGUUGUUGGGUGUUAUCGGCCACCAUCAGCACCAGCCUGUGCCCUAAAUGCCCUAAGCUCUCUCCUGGCCCCUUACACUAAGUCUGAAUUUGUCCUGCUAGGUAACCCGAAACUGGGACAUGAUUAAACCACCUGACCAAAUCCUAAAGCAAUGGGACUCCCCUCCCUAUCUUUACAAAUAAUCCUGAUAGGUAUCAGUCUGUUUUCUGUAAUGACCUUAGUGAUCACUGUUUUACAGCCUGUGUUCGUAAUGGCUACUCAGUGAAACGACCUUUCCUGACUUGUCAUAGACGCUUGCUAAAAAACUUGAAUGAGCAAGCCUUCCUUCAUGAUCUGACCUCUGUAAAUUGGUAUAGAAUAAGUUUGAUCCCCUUCUGUCGAAGACUCUUGGAUCUUCUUUUUGAUAUUUUCAGUGGUAUCGUUAACAAAUACCCGCCCAUAAAUUAAACGAAUAUUAACAACAGGUUCAGCCCCUGGUUCGAUCAUGAUCUGGCAGAGGUACUCCACCUCAAUAAUUCCAUCUGGCAAAUUGCUCAGCAGACGCAUACUCAGACUGACUGGCUCUCAUUCAGGCAAAUUAAAAAUAAGUGCACUGACAAGGAGCACAAGACUGAGUACUUUAGUCAAGAUUCCUAUUUGACUCUGCCAUGCCUCCUUGCCCGUCCAAUAUUUCCUCAUCUUCCAUCCUAAUGUGACUAUCCCUGAUGCUCCCCCCUCUUUUUCCCAUGGCCUGCCACAAAGUUUCUCCCUGCAGGUGGUCACUGAGUCCGAGGUGCUAAAGGAGCUCCUUAAACUUGACCCCAAAAAAACAUCUGGUUCAGAUGGUUUAGACCCUUUCUUCUUUAAGGUUGCCAAGCUUAUCUCUGACCUUUUUAACCUGUCUCUCCUCUCUGUGGAGGUUUUCAUUGCUUGGAAGGCAGCCAUGGUGAGUCCUUUAUUUCAAGGGAGAGAUCAAGCUGAUCCUAACUGUUGUAGGACAAUUGCUAUUUUGCCCUGUUUAUCAAAAGUGUUGGAAAAACGUGUCAAUAAUCAACUGGUUUCCGCUCAGGUUAUGGAUGUCACCUCAACCUUAAAGCUCCUAAAUGAUGUCAUCAUUGCCGUUGAUUCAAAGCAAUGUUGUGCUGCUAUCUUUAUUGACUUGGCCAAAGCUUUUGAUACGGUACACCAUUCCAUUCUUGUAGGCCGGCUGAGGAGUAUUGGUGUCUCUAAGGGGUCUUUGGCCUGGUUUGCUAACUACCUCUCUCAAAGAGCGCAGUGUAUAAAGUCAGAACAUCUGCUGUCUCAGCCACUGCCUGUCACCAAGGGAGUACCCCAAGGCUUGAUCCUAGGCCCCAAGCUCUUCUCAAUUUACAUCAAUAACAUAGCUCAAGCAGUAGGAAUCUCUCUCAUCUAUUUAUAUGCAGAUGAUACAGCCUUAUACACAGCUGGCCCCUCCCUGAAACGCUCUACAACAAAGCUUUCUUAGUGUCCAACAAGCUUUCUCUGCCCUUAACCUUGUUCUGAACACCUCCAAAACAAAGGUUGUGGUUUGGUAAGAAGAAUGCCCCUCUCCCCACCGGUGUGAUUACUACCUCUGAGGGUUUAGAGCUUGAGGUAGUCACCUCAUACAAGUACUUGGGAGUAUGGCUAGACGGUACACUGUCCUUCUCAUUACAUAUCAAAGCUGCAGGCUAAGGUUAAAUCUAGACAUGGUUUCCUCUAUCGUGAUCGCUCCUCUGUCAUCACAGCUGCCAAACUAACCCUGAUUCAGAUGACCAUCCUACCCAUGCUAAAUUACGGAGACGUAAUCUAUAGAUCGGCAGGUAAGGGUGCUCUCGAGUGGCUAGAUAUUCUUUACCAUUCGGCCAUCAGAUUUGCCACUGAUGCUCCUUAUAGGACACAUCACUGCACUCUAUACUCCUCUGUAAACUGCACUUAGGUAGCUUGUUCCCACCUGUGUUUGUGGGUAGUUGUUUUCUGUUUUUGUGUGUCUGCACCAGACAGAACUGUUUUGGUUGUUCUAUUUGUCUUUUGUAUUCAGUGUUCAGUUCCAAAUAAAAAGAUGAACAUGUACCACGCUG